rnacentral:rRNA from 1 species
CGCACAGCGAAAGGUGCUUGCACCUUUCAAGUGAGUGGCGAACGGGUGAGUAACACGUGGACAACCUGCCUCAAGGCUGGGGAUAACAUUUGGAAACAGAUGCUAAUACCGAAUGAAACUUAGUGUCGCAUGAUACGAAGUUAAAAGGCGCUUUGGCGUCACCUAGAGAUGGAUCCGCGGUGCAUUAGUUAGUUGGUGGGGUAAAGGCCUACCAAGACAAUGAUGCAUAGCCGAGUUGAGAGACUGAUCGGCCACAUUGGGACUGAGACACGGCCCAAACUCCUACGGGAGGCUGCAGUAGGGAAUCUUCCACAAUGGGCGAAAGCCUGAUGGAGCAACGCCGCGUGUGUGAUGAAGGCUUUCGGGUCGUAAAGCACUGUUGUAUGGGAAGAACAGCUAGAAUAGGGAAUGAUUUUAGUUUGACGGUACCAUACCAGAAAGGGACGGCUAAAUACGUGCCAGCAGCCGCGGUAAUACGUAUGUCCCGAGCGUUAUCCGGAUUUAUUGGGCGUAAAGCGAGCGCAGACGGUUGAUUAAGUCUGAUGUGAAAGCCCGGAGCUCAACUCCGGAAUGGCAUUGGAAACUGGUUAACUUGAGUGCAGUAGAGGUAAGUGGAACUCCAUGUGUAGCGGUGGAAUGCGUAGAUAUAUGGAAGAACACCAGUGGCGAAGGCGGCUUACUGGACUGUAACUGACGUUGAGGCUCGA